GACGUAAUAUGCAAGCGUUAUUCGGAAUCACUGGGCGUAAAGGGUGCGUAGGCGGUGAAUUAAGUCGGAUGUGAAAUCCUACGGCUCAACCGUAGAAUUGCGUUCGAAACUGAUUGACUAGAAUCAGAGAAGGGAAGGCGGAAUUCCUGGUGUAGGAGUGAAAUCUAUAGAUAUCAGGAAGAACACCGGUGGCGAAGGCGGCCUUCUGGCUUAUGAUUGACGCUGAGGCACGAAAGUGUGGGGAGCGAACGGG
rnacentral:rRNA from 1 species